rnacentral:rRNA from 1 species
CCUACGGGUGGCAGCAGUGGGGAAUAUUGCACAAUGGGGGAAACCCUGAUGCAGCGACGCCGCGUGAGUGAAGAAGUAAUUCGUUAUGUAAAGCUCUAUCAGCAGGGAAGAAAAUGACGGUACCUGAGUAAGAAGCCCCGGCUAACUACGUGCCAGCAGCCGCGGUAAUAAGUAGGGGGCAAGCGUUAUCCGGAUUUACUGGGGGUAAAGGGAGCGUAGACGGCAGUGCAAGUCUGGAGUGAAAGGCGGGGGCUCAACCCCCGGACUGCUCUGGAAACUGUACGGCUGGAGUGCAGGAGAGGUAAGUGGAAUUCCUAGUGUAGCGGUGAAAUGCGUAGAUAUUAGGAGGAACACCAGUGGCGAAGGCGGCUUACUGGACUGUAACUGACGUUGAGGCUCGAAAGCGUGGGGAGCAAACAGGAUUAGAUACCCCGGUAGUC